rnacentral:lncRNA from 1 species
GCGUGGCCUCUUCAGGUUGUGUGUGUGGUGGCCUGGCAUUCAAUCUGUGAGGUGGAUGCGUGUUGGAAGGACCCCUUUUGGUUUCUUUUUGCUCAGAGCUUUCUUUUAAUAAAUUCCGCUCUCCUCACCUUUCAAUGUGUCCGUAUGCCUAAUUUUUCCUGGUCCUGUGACAAGAACCUGAUUUUAGCUGAACUAAGGAGCGAAAGAUCCUGGAUCAUUUUGGUGACCCAUACUGGUACAUGAGGAAAGCUCCUAUUCCAGAUUCUCAGAGUAUAGAUUCUGACUGGAUUACCCUGGUCCUUGAAGUAUACCUAGGAGAUGGAAUAACAUUGUAUAAGCAUCCACGUUGUCAUUAAGAGGAAAGAGUUUCCAUUAAAACAGCAGGUCACAAAACCCUCCUGUGAGAGGAACCCUCUGUGGAAGAACAGAAUAUGUCACCCCAAAAUAUGAAGAAUUGUUGAGCUGAAGAUGAUUAAGAAGAAGCGGAUGCAGGAAAGCUCUCUGCUCUCCCUCUAUUUGCUUAAAAGCAGGAUAAACACUUACAAAGACUAAAGGGGUCCAUUCCAACUAAGAAACUAUGGGGGACCAGGCAUGGUGGCUCACGCCUAUAAUCCCAGCACUUUGGGAGGCCAAGGCCGGCAGAUCACGAGGUCAGGAGAUCGAGACCAUCCUGGCCAACAUGGUGAAACCCCAUCUCUAUUUAAAAAAUACAAAAAAUUAACUGGGUGUGGUGGCAUGCACCUGUAGUCCCAGCUACUUGGGAGUCUGAAGCAGGGGAAUCACUUGAACCCAGAAGGUGAAGGCUGCAGCAAGCCGAGAUCGCACCACUGCACUCCAGCCUGGUUCCCCCUUCACCUCCCUAUAUUCUAAGGAAAGAAUCAUUCUUAUUUGUGAAGACAAAAGGACACAGAGGGAAAUAUGAACUAAAUUUUUGCUGUGUCCUCCACUUUACUACCCUUAGCUCAUACCCCCUUUGUCUUAUAUUUCUUUGUGACUCUCCACUCUUCAUCAAAUACAGUGUUAAAAACACUCAGGUUUAAUCACUUAUUUGGGUCUUCAUUUCCUUAUUAAAGCUCUCACGGCAUGUAAAGCUUAUAUUUUUAAAAUGUGUAUGCUUCUCUUUUGUCUUUUAUAUGCUUUUCUCUGUCUUCUGUUACAGACGCCACAAUCAAGAACUCAGAAGGGUAGAAGAAAAAGAUAGUUUCCCUUCCCUACACAGGUGUUGAUCCCUUCAUAAAUAUUAUGCAUGCUAAGCCCUAUCUCAAGGUCUACAUCCAGGAGAACCCAACCUGCAACAUUAAGUUACUGACUGUGCAAGAACCCUUUGAUCACGUACCUUACAGACCAAGAUAAGUGAGGAUGCCCAUGUAUAACCUGCUGUCUUUCUGGUCUCUUAUGUUUUUGUACCAGAAAGGGACAACUUUUUGGGUAACCAUAGGUCUCUAGUAUAUCUGUGAUUACAAUAAAGAUUUUUGAUAUACCAAAACUGAUGAACCAAAAUUCCACUGAAAUAGCGAGUAAAUGGAGUUCUUUUAUCCUUUGCAGUAUACCAGGGUGAACUUUUUACAUGAUUUCUUGCUCCAAAGGGAGAAGUGUUAUGACAAAGUACAUUUAAGGACCCUAACUGAUCACAGAAAAAAUAUUAAUGGCAUUGGGAAAAAAAUGCAGACUAAUGAAUCCACUACUAAAUUUUAUCUAUCUUGUAGCUCUAAAAUUGCACUGUUUAGAAUACACUAUGGUAGCCACUAGACAUAUGGCUACUUGAACUUGAAUUGGUUAAAAUCAAAAUUAAGAAUUUAAUUUCUCACUCACAUUAGCCACAUUUCAAGUGCUCAACAGACACAUGUGGCUAGUGUCUACCAUAUUGGACAGCAUAGAUUUAAAGCACAUUUCCAUCAUUGCAACACUGCAAUAUGGAGGAUGUAUCCUCAAUACAUUGAUAUUGCCCCCUCAAAAUUCAUAACCCCUAGAUAUCUUAUCUCUGUAUGUGAGGAUAGUGUAUUAACUUGCACCUGGACUGAGAUAGAUAAAUGCUUAUCUCCAGAGAUGUCUGAAAGUCUGGUACUGACCCUUGUCUAAGAUAAGGAUGGAAUGUGCUGGUUAAUGAUUUAUACUGUGCUAUACAAAGUCCAAAAUUCCUUUGGAGGUAUCCUCUGCUGGCUUGUCUACAUUGUUUAAGGAUGGAUAGGUUGAUGGUUUGCACCUGCUUUAAUCAUUUACACAUUCUGAUUUUAUUUGUGAUCAGUGGAGGAUAAAACCUUCAAUAAACUUGUGUCUUAGCUUCCUUGAUAUUAAGAUAUCUUGCACAUAUCUUAGAUUUUUAUAAUCUGAAUGCAAAGCACAUCCUUUGCAAUUGAGAAAGGACUCUGUGAGCUGCUCCUGGAUAUGUGAAACCCCUCAGUGACUGACCGUAUUUUCUUUCUUCUGCUGUACUUGCCCUUAUUAAAGCCUUACAUGUGAAGUAAGUCCUUUCAAUUGUCUGACUCCGGGUGAUUGUUAUACCCUUUGAUAUAGUUUGGAUAUUUGUGCCUUCCAAAUCUCAUGUUGAAAUGCGAUCCCCUAUGUUGGAGGUGGAGCCUAGUAGGAGGUGUUAGGGUCACGGGAAUGGAUCCCUGAUGAAUGGCUUGGUACACAGUAAUGAGUGAGUUUGUGCUUUAUUAGUUACUGUGAGAUUUACUUGGUAAAAAGAGCCUGGCAACUCCUCCCUCUCCCUUGCUCCCUCUCUUGCCAUGUGACAUGCUUGCUCCAGCUGCACCUUUUGCCACAAUUGUAAGCUUUGUGAGUCCCUCAACAGAAGCUGAGCAAAUGCUGGCACCAUGCUUCUUGUACAGCCUACAGAACUGUGAACCAAAUAAAACUUUUAUUUUUAUAAAUUAUC